rnacentral:lncRNA from 1 species
GGAUCAAGCCACCAAUCAUAUUGAACAUAGCAUAACAUAAAUAAAGUAGUUCGUAAAACCUCAUUCAAUACAAUUGAUGUUUCAAAACAAACAUAGUAUCAGUAGCGGAAGCAUAAUAAUUCGUAAAACCCCGUUCAAUACAAUUGACGUUUCAAAACAAUCAUAGUAUCAGUAGCGGAAGCAUAAGUAAAUAACCCAAGUAAACCAUAAGUUCAAUUAUUCGAAAUGUUUAAACAUAGCGUUCUUAACCCACUGCCCACAACGUCCCGCUCCUCCAGUGCAAGCUCCAUAAGUACCUA